rnacentral:rRNA from 1 species
UACAGAGGUCCCGAGCGUUGUUCGGAUUCACUGGGCGUAAAGGGUGCGUAGGUGGUUGUGCAAGUCUGAUGUGAAAUCUCCGGGCUUAACCCGGAAAUGGCAUUGGAAACUGCAUGGCUAGAGGGUUGGAGGGGGGACUGGAAUACUUGGUGUAGCAGUGAAGUGCGUAGAUAUCAAGUGGAACACCAGUGGCGAAGGCGAGUCCCUGGACAACACCUGACACUGAGGCACGAAAGCUAGGGGAGCAAACAGG